GACGAACGCUGGCGGCGUGCCUAAUACAUGCAAGUCGAACGAGUGGCGGACGGGUGAGUAACACGUGGGAACCUACCCAUCAGAGGGGGAUAACUACUGGAAACGGUAGCUAAUACCGCAUACCAUCAGAUGUGCCCAGAUGGGAUUAGCUGGUAGGUGGGGUAACGGCUCACCUAGGCGACGAUCCCUAGCUGGUCUGAGAGGAUGACCAGCCACACUGAAACUGAGACACUGUCCAGACUCCUACGGGAGGCAUCAGUGGGAAAUAUUGCACAAUGGGCGCAAGCCUGAUGCAGCCAUGCCGCGUGUGUGAAGAGGGCCGUCGGGUUGUAAAGCACUUUCAGCGGGGAGGCGUUACCCGCAGAAGAAGCACCGGCUAACUCCGGGCCAGCAGCCGCGGUAAUAC
rnacentral:rRNA from 1 species